UAUUCUUCUUUUUACAUAUGCUAAUAUCAUAAUUGUCAGAUAAAGAGCACAUUUCAUCAUUUUAAAACAAGAAACUGAUGCCAUUUAAGGUAAAAUCAGACAUUAACAUCUUGAUUUAGGUAAAAGGCAGCAAUGAUUCUUAUGAAUUGCACCAAAAGAACACCUGUGGCUAUUUAAAAAGAUUUCCAAAUAAGAGAGAAGUCCAAUAUUACAAAGUACAAUCAAAAGUAAAUGUAUUUUGUAUUUUGUUAAAAGGCAGCAAUGAAUCUCAUGAUGAUGACGACAGGAAGUCUGAAAAGUGUGAUGGAACAGUAACCCUGAUGAGUUUGGUCCCGGGAGCUCUGACCGGUCUCCUCUUAAUGAUCAUCAUCGGUCUUGUUGUUAAAAACCGGAAACUUCAGAAAGCUGCUAAUGAAGAACAGAAUCCACAACAGCCUGAGAAUCUGGACUCUGGCCUGAAAGAUGCAGCACUGAGUGUGUAUGCAGCAACAAUAAGGAACAGGAGGCCUGCAUCAGAGAGAGAAGUGGAGACUCAUGUUGUUUAUGCUGUCCGCAGAUAGACCCAAAGAGGAACUGAUGCUUUAUCAUAUUCAUCUCCUGCUGUGUUCUUUUGUGGGUGAAUGGGGAGGAGUUACCCUUUUCUUA